GGGGAAGCCCCACAAGUGGUGAAGUAGGUCUGCAGGUGUGUCUCUUUCUCUCUUUCCUUUCCCUCUCAAGUUCUCUCUGCUUUAUCAAAUAAAAUAAAUAAAUAAUCGCACCAAAGUAAAAGACUCUGGGGUGGGUGGGUUGGGAGAAUACAGGUCCAUGAAGGAUGAUAAAUGACAUAGUGGGGGUUGUAUUGUUAAAUGGGAAACUGGGGAAUGUUAUGCAUGUACAAACUAUUGUAUUUACUGUUGAAUGUAAAACAUACAAUAAAGAAAUUAAAAAAAAAUAAAACAAAACAAAACUAAAUAAAUAAAUAAAUAAAUAAAAAUUCAAAAUACAAAAAAGAAAAAAAGGAAAAAGAAAAGGAAAGGGGUCAGAUCACACUGUCCCAGCACCCUGUGUCUCCCUCUGCCUGCUCUCUGUGUGUCGGGGCCGCCUGGCCUCAGGUUUUUGGGCACCAGCCACCUAGCAGGCUGUGACUUGGCAGCAGGGAGCAGGACCUAGAAGUGAGAUCUGCCCGGGAACCGCCAGCCACGCCUGGGUUUUGGUUCAGCCAGUGUUUGCAGAACUCGCUCUCAGUUCUGGGAAGGUGCCAGGAGGCCAGGAGGAACUCAGUGAUUGGGGUGUGUGUGUGUCGGGGGGACCCCAUGAACUGAUUGGCAGUGCGGGAAGAGAGACACUCAAGGUCCAGAGGAGAAAUAUCACUCCCUCAUCACGAAGCUGCCCAGGGUGCUGUGGUGCUCACAUGUGACCGGGAGCUUAAACCCAGGCCUUCAGGACACAAUGUCAUCUUUUUAUAGUGCUGUCUCAACUGGAGUAUGGAUUGAUCUGCCAACACCCAUGUUCAGCAGGGAAGCAAUUAUAGAAGUCAGACCUUCCACCUUCUGCACCCCAGAAUGAUCCUGGGUCCAUGCUCUCAGAAGGCUAAAGAAUAGGAAAGCUUUCAAGGGAGGUGAUGGGAUAUCGAGUUCUGGUGGUGGGAACUGUGUGGAAUUGUACCCCUCUUAUCCUAUGGUCUUGUUAAUAUUUCCA